ACGCGAGCUGGGUUCAGAACGUCGUGAGACAGUUCGGUCCCUAUCCGUCGCAGGCGUAGGAAAUUUGAGAAGACCUGUCCUUAGUACGAGAGGACCGGGAUGGACGUACCUCUGGUGUACCAGUUGUUCUGCCAAGGGCAUGGCUGGGUAGCUAUGUACGGAAUGGAUAAGCGCUGAAAGCAUCUAAGCGCGAAGCCAACUUCAAGAUAAGAUUUCCCACCGCAAGGGUAAGACCCCAGAAAGACUAUCUGGUUG
rnacentral:rRNA from 1 species